rnacentral:rRNA from 1 species
GGUUUGAGUAAAAAGAGUGACGAAUGGAGAACUAGGGUGCACUAAAGAGGACGGAGCCCCCCGAAAUGGCGGAGGAGAGACUUUGAAGCCCUAAUGUCCUGCGCGGCAACGCAGCGGGGGGGCCAGGGGAGCGAAACAUCCCAGUACCGGGCCCCCCACCCCCCUCCCCACCCCAUAGUGGGUGUUUGGGGGGGGGGCACAGUAAAAAUCAAACGAGAUUCCGCAAGUGGCGGCGAGCGAAAGCGGACGGGCCCUUUCCCGUAGGACCCCCCGGCCCGGCCGGGGGGCGGGGGUCGCCCACCCAGGGGCGGGCGAGUAGUGAUGGGAAGAUGGGUGGCCACACAUCCAAGGCUUAAUAACUAGUGUCACACCGAAAGAGGGGAGUACUGUGAAGGAAAGUUGAAAGAGACUUGAAAAGACCUUGAAAUGAGUCACUUAAAGCAGUUGUAACACAACGUACCUUUUGUAUAAUGGGUCCACGAGAUAAAAUUUGGCAAACUUAAAGUGCAAUCUCGCAGCCACCCCGCAGGGGAUGGCUGGGGGGAUUGUUCUUGGCCCCUAAGGUGUAGUGAAAGCAAGGGGGGGGGAUACCCCCACCCCUCAGUCAAAUUUCCCGAAACCAAGUGAUCUAGCCAUGGGCAGUUUUUAGGAACGAACCGGUGGUUGUUGCAAAAACCUCGGACGACCUGUGGUUAGGGGCGAAACGCCAAUCGAACUUGGAGAUAGCUGGUUUUCUGCGAAAACUAUUGAAGUAGUGCGUCCACAAUUCAAGGAACCUUCACCCGAAUGGGUGGCGGUUGCUAGUUGGAGAAGUCGAAUCAAGAUUUGCAUUCUCCGAUGAGAAUGGCUUGGAAUGCGGUAAAGCCCGACCCCCCGAAGCCGGGGGAUUAACUAUGAAGAAAAAAAGCCAGAGUGGGACAGACAGACUGUGGGCGAUAAGGUCGACGGUCUAAAGGGGAGAAGCCCUAACCAGAAGUUAAAGUCAUUAAUAAAAUUUAGUGUAAAAGAGAUAUUGGGUUUAGACAAUGGAGAAGUAGGCUUGGAGCCAGCCACCUUUGAGAGAUGACGUAGCAGUUCACUCAAGAAAUUCUUUUAUCUCUAAAAUUAUGGUGGCUAAAGUUGAACUGAAACUCUGGGGGCGAAAUAACAAGGUGGCGGUUGCGAGGCCUUCUUCGAAGACUUGAACCCCCGCCCUUCGUUAUGUUUGUCCGGUAGCAGAACGUACUGUUAAUUGUUCAGUGAGAGCCCUACACGGCAUCAGAAGUGAUAAUGUGGACAUGAGUAAAAAAUCAUAGGAUCACUCCCCCCCUGGUUUCCCAUAUUAGUUAUGGGGUUAAACAGCCCCUAAAAUUGCAGCCCCAAAGGUUGCGUUAAUGGGGGGCCAUGAGUAAUAGACGCACAAAGUGCCAGGAAAGAAUUAUUCAAGGGCCAAAGGGGCGGCAAAUCAAGGACGCCGCUCCUCUUGCCCAAUGGGCAUCGGUAAAUCGAAGGUGAUAACCACCUUUCGGCGCCGCACUGUACUAAACUAACUAAAGUGGGGGAUAGUGAGGGGAUAAAUUUCCUUAAGGAACUCGGCAAAAUCCCAAUGGCCCACCAGGGCAUAUAUUGGAACACGGGCCUCGACUGUUUACCAAAAACAUAGCCCUCGGCCAAUAUGAAAAUAGAAGUAUGGAGGGUGAGGCCUGCCCAAUGGUUGUAUCUAAAAGCGGUUGAUAAAAGUCGACCGCGUAAGGACAAUUGAAUGGCCGCGGUAACACUGACCGUGAUAAUGUAGCGUAAUCAAUAGCCAAUUAAUUGUUGGCCAGUAUGAAUGGCGCCACGAAGGCCCCACUGUCUUAAGGAAAUUCCCAGUGAAAUUGAAUUCGUAGUGAAGAUGCUACGUCCAAUUUGUUAGACGAAAAGACCCCGUUGAGCUUUACUGGGGCACUUACACGGCCCCGGCCUUCAAGACUGGGUUGAUAAGCCAAGGCUUACCAUACCUAGGGACCGGCCGAAUUUAAAUGGGCGGUUUAGACUAUGUGGCAGCCCCCCCCGUCGGGGCAGAUGAAACCCCACUCCCCCAUGUCAAAGGGGCUAACCCCCCCCCUUGGGGGGGACAGUGUAAGUAGGACAGUUUGGUUGGGGCGACCGCCUUUUAGAGAGUAACGAAGGUGCGCUUAAGGUGCGUAAUUAAUGACUGAAGCCUGACUGCGAGGGGGACACCCCGAGCAGACACCCCCAAGCCCGCCCUCUGGGAGGGCGGCGGUGGGGUGGGCCAUAGUGACCCGUUAAUUUAGAGUGGAAUAGUUAACGAUCAACGAAUAAAAGUUACCACGGGGAUAACAGCGUAAUAUCGUUAGAGAGUUCACAUCGACGACGAUGUUUGCGACCUCGAUGUUGAAUUGCGGCAUCCUGGGGUGCAGCCGCUCCCAAGGGUUGGUCUGUUCGUCCAUUAAAGCCGUACAUGAUUUGAGUUAAAAGCGUGGUAACACAGCUUGGUUUCUAUCUACAAAUUGAAGAAACAUCGAUAUAACUAUCUUCUAGUACGAAAGGACCGAAGGAUUAGUGAUCCUCUUAUUUUUUAUAAGUUACGAUCAACCCAUUGACCUCAACCCCUCUCCCUCCCGGGGAGGCGAGGGGUCUCUCAGCUAAUCACUGACCGCUUCUAAAGUGGGAAAGUCAUAUCGAAAUGUUUGGGCCCAUUAUAGGGGGGCUAAAAACCCCACCAUCACGAGUGGUGGUGGCCAGCCCUCGGGCUGGGAUUA